GCAGCAAUCACUGGGUUUUCAGAUGAAGAAAUUAUGAGCCAACAAUGCAAAUGACAUCUAGAAGUUGAAAAAAAUCAAGGAAGCAGGUAGCCCUUUCUGAGACUCCAGAGAUGUUAAGAAGUUAUUCGUCACGCCCCGGUUAUUUUGCUGCAGCCGGACUGCGGCACAGAGAGAACCAUCCUAAGGCAAAACCUUAAUUGUAACCCAGAGAGACCAAUUUUGUCCUUCGAUCUUUGUACCUGGAAGUUCUGGCUGAUAAAUAGAUUCAGCAAAAUAGCAGGAUACAAGAUCAGCAUAAAACAACAACAACAACAGCAACAACAAAAAAGAGCUUCCCUGUACUCCAAUAAUGAA